GCCGGCGUAGCUCAGUGGUAGAGCAAACGUUUCAUAAGCGUUAGGUCCCAAGUUCGAUCCUUGGCGCCGGCA
rnacentral:tRNA from 1 species